AUUGAACGCUGGCGGCAGGCCUAACACAUGCAAGUCGAACGGUAACAGGAAGCAGCUUGCUGCUUUGCUGACGAGUGGCGGACGGGUGAGUAAUGUCUGGGAAACUGCCUGAUGGAGGGGGAUAACUACUGGAAACGGUGGCUAAUACCGCAUAACGUCGCAAGACCAAAGAGGGGGACCUUCGGGCCUCUUGCCAUCAGAUGUGCCCAGAUGGGAUUAGCUAGUUGGUGAGGUAACGGCUCACCAAGGCGACGAUCCCUAGCUGGUCUGAGAGGAUGACCAGCCACACUGGAACUGAGACACGGUCCAGACUCCUACGGGAGGCAGCAGUGGGGAAUAUUGCACAAUGGGCGCAAGCCUGAUGCAGCCAUGCCGCGUGUAUGAAGAAGGCCUUCGGGUUGUAAAGUACUUUCAGCGGGGAGGAAGGUGUUGUGGUUAAUAACCGCAGCAAUUGACGUUACCCGCAGAAGAAGCACCGGCUAACUCCGUGCCAGCAGCCGCGGUAAUACGGAGGGUGCAAGCGUUAAUCGGAAUUACUGGGCGUAAAGCGCACGCAGGCGGUCUGUCAAGUCGGAUGUGAAAUCCCCGGGCUCAACCUGGGAACUGCAUUCGAAACUGGCAGGCUUGAGUCUUGUAGAGGGGGGUAGAAUUCCAGGUGUAGCGGUGAAAUGCGUAGAGAUCUGGAGGAAUACCGGUGGCGAAGGCGGCCCCCUGGACAAAGACUGACGCUCAGGUGCGAAAGCGUGGGGAGCAAACAGGAUUAGAUACCCUGGUAGUCCACGCCGUAAACGAUGUCUACUUGGAGGUUGUGCCCUUGAGGCGUGGCUUCCGGAGCUAACGCGUUAAGUAGACCGCCUGGGGAGUACGGCCGCAAGGUUAAAACUCAAAUGAAUUGACGGGGGCCCGCACAAGCGGUGGAGCAUGUGGUUUAAUUCGAUGCAACGCGAAGAACCUUACCUGGUCUUGACAUCCACGGAAGUUUUCAGAGAUGAGAAUGUGCCUUCGGGAACCGUGAGACAGGUGCUGCAUGGCUGUCGUCAGCUCGUGUUGUGAAAUGUUGGGUUAAGUCCCGCAACGAGCGCAACCCUUAUCCUUUGUUGCCAGCGGUCCGGCCGGGAACUCAAAGGAGACUGCCAGUGAUAAACUGGAGGAAGGUGGGGAUGACGUCAAGUCAUCAUGGCCCUUACGACCAGGGCUACACACGUGCUACAAUGGCGCAUACAAAGAGAAGCGACCUCGCGAGAGCAAGCGGACCUCAUAAAGUGCGUCGUAGUCCGGAUUGGAGUCUGCAACUCGACUCCAUGAAGUCGGAAUCGCUAGUAAUCGUGGAUCAGAAUGCCACGGUGAAUACGUUCCCGGGCCUUGUACACACCGCCCGUCACACCAUGGGAGUGGGUUGCAAAAGAAGUAGGUAGCUUAACCUUCGGGAGGGCGCUUACCACUUUGUGAUUCAUGACUGGGGUG
rnacentral:rRNA from 1 species